rnacentral:lncRNA from 10 species
UUUUCUUCCCCUGAAGGAUUAAUAAGGAGGCCAACUAUUUGCAGUUGCUUCUACCCCAUCUCUGACAGUUCUUUAACCCCCUGACAAGGAAGGAUCUCAGAAUUUCUCAUUCCUUCUCAGGGUGACAAUUGUUGUGAAUUCUUCCUUGUCUAUUCUUUUUACCUCCUCUUUUUCCAUUUUAGCCUUUCAAUUUGAGUUGGAUUUAUUUCUAUGGUGGUCUAUCACCUAACAGAAAACGUGGUGCACCAAGUAAUGAGUAACUUAGUUUUUAUUAUGUUUUAAAAAAUACAAUAAACAUUUUUUGAGCACUUUCUGUGCACUAGGCAUUUGCUAAAUGCUGGUGACAUGGGUGAGAAAGUGGGGACAGAGGCAGCCAAGUCUCUGAAGAAUCUUGACACAUCCAGUUUGAGAACAUCCCAUCUAACAAGAAACAGCGUAAGAAAAAGCCUGGAAGUAAAUUUGUAGGAUGGAGACAAUUCAGAUAUCACAGAGCUGGCAGAGUUAAUGAGUAUCUUGGACAAUUGCACCAAAUGCAAUGGAUUGGGAUCACUAAAUCAAGACGUAAUUUGAUAGAAAUAAAGUGGUCCUAGGAAAACUAACACAGCAGGCUUAUGCUGAUGGAGCAGAUGCAAGCCUGUGAGCCAGCACGGAUUUCCCAGGAACGUUGCUGUUCGCUAGGCCACGUGCUGGCCUCACAGCUGGUGAUGAGAAGGCGAAGACAGAGUCAGCUUAACCAAGGCACUGUGGGCUCUGUGAAAGCCUUUGGCUUCAUCUUAUGCACCAGAACAGGCCACUGAAGGGCUGUUAAGGUGUGGUGUCUCACAGUAAUCUCAGCACUUUGGGAGGUCAAAGUGGGAGGAUUGCUUAAGGCCAGGAGUUUGAGACCACCCUGGGUAACAUAGUGAGACCCCCAUCCCUACAAAACAAUGCACAUGAAGACUGAUUUUGUUUUCAUUUAACUUCAUCUUGGGGAAUUAUUGUUGCAUAUUUUUAUACCACUUUAAGAAUUACCUAUACAAGGUCGGGUGUGGUAGCUCACGCCUGAAAUCCCAGCACUUUGGGAGGCUGAGGUUGGCAGAUCACUUGAGGUCAGGAGUUCGAGACCAGCCCGGUCAACAUGGUGAAACCCCAUCUCUGCUGAAAAUACCAAAAUUAGCCAAGUGUGGCGGCGCAUGCCUCCAAUACCAGCUACUCAGGUGGCUGAGGCAUAAGAACUGCUUGAACUAGGAGGCAGAGGUUUUAGUGAGCUGAGAUUGUGCCACUGUACUCCAGCCUGGGCAACAGAGCGAGACUCUGUCUCUGGGGGGCGGAAAAAAGCCUGGGUAACAUAGUAAGACCCCAUCUCUACAAAAAUUUUAAAAAAAUUAGCCAGGCAUGGUGGUACAUGCCUGUGGUCCUAGCUUUUCAGGAGGCUGAGGUGGGAGGAUUGCUUGAGCCUGGGAGCUCGAGGCUACAGUGAGAUGUGAUAGUGCCACUGCACUCCAGCCUAGGUGAUAGUGAAACCCUAUCUCAAAAAACAAACAAACAAACAAACAAAAAAAACACAGUGGCUCAGGCAAGUAAUCCCAGCACUUUGGGAGGCCAAGGCGGGUGGAUCACUUGAGGUCAGGAGUUCAAGACCAGCCUGGCCAAUAUGGUGAAACCCUAUCUCUACUAAAAAUACAAAAAUCAGCCAGGUGUAGUGGCAGGCAUCUUUAAUCCCAGCUACUUGGGAGACUGAGGCAGCAGAAUUGCUUGAAUCUGGGAGCCAGAGGUUGCAGUGAGCCGAGACUGAGCCACUGCAUUCCAGCCUGGAUGAUAGAGCACACUCUGUCUCAAAAAAAAAAAAAAAAAAAAAAAAAAAAAAAAAAAAAAAGAAUUGCUUGUAUUGGUUUGUUAGGGUUGCCAAAACAAAGUAUCAUACCCUGGAUAGCUAAAACAACAGAAAUUUAUUUUUUCAUGGUUCUGGAUGCCGGAGGUCCAAGAUCAAGGUGUCAUUAGGUUUGAUUUCUUCUGAGCCCUCCCUUCUUGGCUUGAACAUGGCCACCUUCCAGCUGUGUUCUCCCAUGAUCUUUCCUCUGGGCAUGCAUGUCUGUGUCCAAAUCUCCUUUUAUAAAUAAAUGGAUUAGGGCCCACCCUAAAGAACUCAUUUUAACUCAAUUACCUCUUUAAAGAUGUUAUUUCCCAUGAUAAUUACAUGCUGAGCUCCUGGGGGUUGGGACUUCAACAUAGGAAUUUUGGGAGUGAGGGGAACACAAUUCAACCCUUAACAUUGCCCAGGGUCACAAAGGUCAGAAGAAGGGAUGAUAAGAUCCAGUCACUCAGGCCAUUUAUAUCAUCAGAACCAAGCCAAAAGUGACUUCACUGUGGGACACUUAAGAAAGUUACCUCCCUCUUCCUUAUUACGUGGCCUGUUUCCCAGGGCUAAAUAGAGAUUUCAGUCAUUCUUUGGCUUUAUUGAGAGCCAUGGGGACAUCUACAUCUGAUAUUGGAUGAGAAUAUGGGUGGGUGGAAGUUGAAACGAUCGUUUGUUUAGAUACCAGUAAUGGAGAGGCUGAAUGAAAUGGUAUGAUCUCAGAGGGUGGGUUGGAACUGGCAGGAUACUUUGAAGGUCAGUCUUAUGGGGCUGCUGGAAUUAUGCCACCUGUCCCCUAGUGCAGCCCUUCCUAUUAAAAGUCUUCACACAUUCAUCAGCUUCACAUCACAGAAGAAAGGCUUCCUCUAACCCUACAUAUGAAUGGUUCCCAAACCUAUCUACUG